UUCCUCUAGACUAAUUAUUUGAGGUACAUCCUGCCCAGUGUAAUAUUAACGGCCGCGGUAUCCUGACCGUGCGAAGGUAGCAUAAUCAUUUGCCUCUUAAUUAGAGGCUUGUAUGAACGGACACACUAAAUUUUAGCUUUAUUACCUUUAAUAAUAUAAUUUAGCUUUUAGGUGAAGAGACCUAAAUAUAGUAGAAAGACAAGAAGACCCUAUUGAGUUUUAUCUUAAAAUAAUAUUAUAGAUUUUGUUGGGGCGACUAGGGAAUUUAUUUAACUUCCCUAAAAAUAAAGGAAUUCCAAUAAAUUGAUCCUCAAAGAACUUAGAAUAAACUACCAUAGGGAUAACAGGCUAAUUUUUUCAGAGAGUCCAUAUCAAUGAAAAAGUUYGGCACCUCGAUGUUGGCUUGAAGAAUCUUUUAGGUGCAACAGCCUAAAAAAGAUAGUUUGUUCAACUAUUAAACCUUC
rnacentral:rRNA from 1 species